GUAUCCUGACCGUGCUAAGGUAGCGUAAUAAUUUGUCCUUUAAUUGUGGGCUUGUAUGAAUGGGUUAACGAGAGUUUAACUGUCUCUAAUUUAACGAUAGAAAUUAAUUUUAAGGUGAGAAGGCUUUAAUGGUAGUAUAGGAUAAAAAGACCCUAUAGAGCUUUAUCGAAUAUUAUUUAAAAAAAAAUUUAUUUUUUUUUUAUUAAGUUAGUAAAAGGUUUAACUGGGGCGGUUAAUGAAGUUUUUAAUCUUCUUUUUAUUAAAAAAAUUAUAAGUUUAUUUAAAGUUAAUUGAUCCUAAAAAUAGAUUAAAAGAGUAGCUACCUUAGGGGUAACAGACUAAUUUUUUUUGAGAGUUCGUAUUGACAAAAAAGUUUGGCACAUCGAUGUUGGCUUAAGAAAUCCUAAAGAUAGUAGUCGUCUUUAAUGGUAGGUUUGUUCAACCUUUAAAAUCUUACGUGAUCUGAGUUCAGACCGGA
rnacentral:rRNA from 1 species